rnacentral:lncRNA from 1 species
GGGAUGGCCUAUAGGGGCUCAUGAUGGUCUUGGUAUUGUUGCUAGUAUUUUGUUGGUGGUGUUUGUUACAGCAACAAGUGAUUAUCGUCAAUCCUUGCAGUUCAGAGACCUUGACAAAGAGAAGAAGAAAAUAUGUAUCCAGGUUACUAGGAAUGGAUACAGACAAAAGUUGUCAAUAUAUGAUCUAGUUCCUGGUGAUAUAGUUCAUCUCGCGAUAGGAGAUCAAGUCCCUGCUGAUGGACUCUUCAUAUAUGAUUUAGUUCCUGGUGAUAUAGUUCAUCUCGCGAUAGGAGAUCAAGUCCCUGCAGAUGGACUCUUUCUUUCAGGGUUUUCUGUGUUAAUUGAUGAAUCCAGUUUGACUGGAGAAAGUGAGCCAGUAAUGGUCAAUGCUCA